CAGUUUAUGAAGUAGGGGUUUAAGUCUUUGUGCCAAGGCAUAUGCUAGAAGUUUAACAUCAUAAUUCAAAAGUGUUAUAGGUCGAUAAUUAUCAAGUGACAAUGGGUCAUUUUUUUUAUAAAUAAGUGAUAUAACGCCUAUUUUUUGUGUGUUGGACAAUUGUCCUUUAGAAUAGCAAUAGUUAAAUGUUGAUACUAUUAAAGUUUUUAAUUCUACCCAAAACUUUCUGUAAAAUUCAACAUUUAGUCCAUCUAAUCCUGGGGCACGGUUUAAUUUCAUUUUAAAUAUAGCUUCUGUGCAUUCUUCUUCAGUUAUUUCUCCUUCGCAAGUAUCACUUUCACUUUCAGUUAAUUUUUUAUGUUUUUUAAUAUCAUUUAAAUAAUUUUGUGUUUCUUGUAAAUUUGGAUUUGUUGACGUGUAUAAAUCUUUAUAAUAUUUUACUUCAAGGUUUAAUAUUUUUUCAUGAUCCCUAGUUAUCUCCCCUUUUUCAUCAUAUAGUUGUGUUAUGGUUUUUUUGCUUUGCCUAGAUUUCUCAAGACCUAGAAAAUAAGCUGAAUUUCUUUCACCCUCUUCCACCCAUUUUGCUCUAGCUCUAAUUUGGUUACCCUUUAUUUUUUCAUAGUAAAGCUUUCCUAAUUUUUCUUCUGUAUAUUCUAUUGUUUGCAAUAAACUUGUUUUGGUUGUAUUAUUGUUUUCAGUAUCAGCUAAGAUAUUAAGUCUUUGUAAGUCUUUUUCUAAAAUAUUUAUCUUAUCUCUUUUUUCCUUAGCUUUAGAUUUGCAAAAAUUGAUUGAAAUAUCUCUUACCUCAGUUUUAAAGUUAUCCCAUAGUAGGUCGAGAUCGGGAUAAUUUAUACUUUUGUUUUUAUAAUUAGUUAUCAAAUUAGAAAUUGUAUUCACAUAAUCCUCAUUCUCUAAUAUACUGCUAUUCAAUUUCCAGUAUCCUCUGCCUUUAGGACCUCUAUUUAAAUCUAUUUUUAGUGAGACACAAUUAUGAUCAGUAUGUUGCAGAACUAUAGGUCUUAUAUCACAUGAAAUGGAGUUUUUGUACACUUCAGAUCCUAUUAAAAAAUAGUCAAUUCUUGUUGCUUCAGAUCUAUCUUUUCUACACCAAGUGAACUGUGUUUUAUGUUUGUUUUUCUCUCUCCAAAC
rnacentral:lncRNA from 1 species